UAGAGUUUGAUCAUGGCUCAGAACGAACGCUGGCGGCAGGCCUAACACAUGCAAGUCGAGCGGGACCUUCGGGUCUAGCGGCGGACGGGUGAGUAUCGCGUGGGAACGUACCCUUUUCUACGGAAUAGCCUCGGGAAACUGAGAGUAAUACCGUAUACGCCCUUUUGGGGAAAGAUUUAUCGGAGAAGGAUCGGCCCGCGUUGGAUUAGGUAGUUGGUGGGGUAAUGGCCUACCAAGCCGACGAUCCAUAGCUGGUUUGAGAGGAUGAUCAGCCACACUGGGACUGAGACACGGCCCAGACUCCUACGGGAGGCAGCAGUGGGGAAUCUUAGACAAUGGGGGCAACCCUGAUCUAGCCAUGCCGCGUGAGUGAUGAAGGCCUUAGGGUUGUAAAGCUCUUUCAGCUGGGAAGAUAAUGACGGUACCAGCAGAAGAAGCCCCGGCUAACUCCGUGCCAGCAGCCGCGGUAAU
rnacentral:rRNA from 1 species